CAGGCCCUGCCCAAGGCAGCGAAUUUCCCGAAGGGCACCCGGGCGAAGUUCUUCGGCCUGCCCUUCACCAAGAGGGGCUGGGCUGCGGACUCCCCGGGCUUCCUGUUCUGGUUCACAGAGCAGCGCGGCAGCGGCCCGAGGCUAAUGCACGGCGAGCGGAUCAUCGAGCAGCUGCGAGGCGACUCC
rnacentral:SRP_RNA from 15 species